AUGGGUCUUCUUCACUUUUGGGUUCAUGCCCUGAAAUGACCUGGAAAAACAAAUGGACGGUGUGGAUAUAAAAUACAUCCAUCAAGGUGGGCUCCACAGUAAGGGCCGCACAAUCUUGGUUGAGGUCAGGGCCGCACCUACUCUCCGCUUCCAACCACAUAUGCCAACAUAUGAAUCACGCUGGCCUACUCAUCCGGUGAGUGACAGAUGCACAUUGAAUGUAGACCGUUGGCAUUUGAGCCAUCCGUGAAUCACGGCCCCUUGGCUCGCCGUGCCACUCGGCUCCCAGAAGAUUAUAUAGUGAUCAGGUUCGGUCGAUGAGUCUGCAUGGCUGGUGAAGUCGAUCACUUCAACCUUGUCUUCUGCCAAUAGCUUGGUUGCUGCUUCUACUGCUAACUGCAAGUCUUUCUCCAGCCAGUAUAGGUGAUAAAAAUCUCCAUCUGCAAUUCUUCUUUGAAUAUAUGAACCUAAAUCCUUAUGCCUUAACGAUGGAGGGAUGAGGUGCUCGUCAAGUAUCUUGAUUCCAGAGUCUGAGGAGAUCCUUGCUCUGGAAGAGAGCAUGUACGUGGUUUUCGGACGGGGUUUGGCUGGUGACCCCAGCACUAGCCAGCUAGCUGAUGUCAAAGCUCUGUGGGCCCCAACAUGAUGUAUGUGUUUAAUCCAUGCCAUGUAUCCAUUUUUUCAGAUCAAUUUAGUAAUUAAAUCCAAAAGUGAGGCAGAUCCAAAGCUCUUCUGGACUACACCAUAGGAAACAGUGGGAUUGAACUCUUACCGUUGAAAGCUUCUUCGGAGCCACAUAAGUUUUAGAUCAAGCUGAUAUUCGUGUUUUCGUUUCAUCCAGUUCUGUGUGACCUUAUGAACAGCUUGGAUGACAAAUAAACAUCACUGUGGGCCCUACGAUGGUUUCAACAUGGAUGUCAUUGUCCCCCCUGUUUUCAUUGGUGUGGUCUACUUGAGCUUUGGAUUUGCAUCAGUUUUUGGUUCAUUAACUAAAAUGAACUGGAAAAAUGGAUGGACGGCGUGGAUAAAACACCUACAUCAUCUUGGGGCCCACAAAGCUUUGACACCACUUAGCUGGUUGGUGUUGGGGUCACUAGACAAACCGCGUCCGUGGUUUUCAGUUUAUAUAACUGGGGCCCGAGGGGAAAGUUGAGGUGGAGACUCUUCGUUUGAUUCUCGAUGAAAAUGGUGAAGAAGAAUCCCUACGGAAAUAGGGCCUCAAUGGAAGAACCAGGGUGGAGAGCUCCAGGCAUGAGGAUUUGGAUCCAUAUAUUCAAAGAAGAAUUGGAGAUAGAGACUUUUGUCGCCUACACUUGCUGGAGAAAGACUAGCAGUUAGCAGUAGAAGCAGCAACCAAGCUAUUGCCAGUGGAGAAGCUUGAAGUGAUCGACUUCGCCAGCCAUGUAGACUCAUCGACGGACCCGGACACCAUGUAAUCUUCUGGGAGAUGAGUGGCGAGGCGAGCCAAGGGGCCUUGAAUGAAUGCUGCAGUUGCUUGGACCGAUCUUUCGUUGAUGCGGGGCACGUUAGUUCCCGGAAGUUCAGCGUGAUUAAUUGGAGCCAGUGAGCUUCAUGUGGUCUGCAAAGGAACGUUCUGCAAGAUUCUAGAUCAUUACCUUGCACUUCGAGCUGCAGCAAGGCAGUUCAAGAUGCCCCGCUGCAUGGGCUGCAAGUUGAGUGUUGGCAGCGUUUCAUUGGCUUUACUUAGCCCUGUAUCCAGCCCUAUGUCUCAGCAGGGAUCGCGUUCGGAGCGCUUCAGAUUGGAGGUUGUAUGUAGUUUUUGUCUUGGCUCUGAUUUAUUUAUUUAUUUUAUUUUAUUUUU